rnacentral:lncRNA from 1 species
AAAUUCCCAUCCACUAAUCCAUUGCUACUCUUUGUCUUUGGUAUAUCAUAUAUGAUAGUGGAAUUCCGCAUCAUAGUUAUUUGUACUACUUAAAGUUUGGUUGUUUAGCAAAGCAUUUGGGUUGUUGAACAAACCCAUGGACCACUAUCCGAUGACACUCUUUGUAUUGGCCGGACAAUACUGAAGUUGUAAACAUAAUGGUCCCUUUGUAUAACUAAAACUUUUGGUUGAUUAGCUGCCGAUUUGGUUGCGUAACAGACCUAUUGACCAUGGACAUAUAUGUGGUUAUGAUGCAUUUAGUUAUUUUUAGCUUGACAAAAUCUAAUUCAGUGGACUUAAUUUUGUUUUCAGUCUUAUUAAAUCAAUUGCUUAGCACCAUCGACCAAUAUUCGGUUCAGAUUGACUUAGGGCCUUUGAUUGGAAGCUUCAUGGUCAAAGGAUUUGAGACUUUGAGGUCAUAGAAUUUAGGUUUGUAUAGGUUAUUGUUGCUUGAUAUGCAACAAUCUAGAUAUGGUAUUACUGCACUGGACAAAUUUAAAUUAGAGUUGCAAGGAAUUAUAUUUUUAUUUCCUUUGUAUGAACAGUUACAGAUCAUUGGCAUUAGGUGAUCUUCUCCAAUUUUUUCUUAACAAUGACGUUGCAUUGUGAAGCCAAGGCAGGUACACAGAUUUAAUAUUAAUUACUCAAGUUAGAGUUGAUUGUUGCAUAUUUUUUCAACUGUCAAUCUUCUCUCAAUAGGUGCUUGGCUUUUUUUGGAAUUAGAAGGUUUGAACCUAUGGAUGAGCUGAUCUCUCUUGAUUUCCCUUCUUAUGCAUGUAGGUAUUAAAAGUUUAGGAUAUGUUCACAUAUUUACAAUGGAAAAAAUUCCUAUCAAUGAGUAGAGACAACUACGGAUAGUGUCAGAUGUUGAGGUAUGUCAAGUCAUUUUAAGCAAAAGUGUGCCAUGAAACCUUCAAGAAAGAUCGAUAAGAACCAGGAAAAAGUGGCAGUCACUGAAUGUUUCGUAUAAAUUAAAUGAUGUCUCGGGCCAAUAUUUUCAUCCCAUCACUGAAUAUCCAUCCCAAACCUAGCUGCGAUAUCUGCAAUGAAAUUAGACUCCUUUAGAUUUCAAACUCAGUUUAGAAUAGAACUCAAAUAUUUUUAUUACUAUUACGUUCUCCAAACAAUAUUUAUAUGUUGAAACUGCUAAUGUUUAUUAAUUUCGCUUAUUCAUCUCUCCAAUCUUCUUCAAUUUUAUUUGAGUUACGAUUUCAAUACAGGAAACCAUGUUUAUAGGAAAGCCAUUUUUGUUCAUUUAUUAUGAAUAUUAAUCUUGGGCAUCACCAAUUACAUGAGAAAUCUGAAUUUUGGGUACACGAGUUUUGGAUCAACUUAAAAAUUGAUAAUGAGAAAGAUCGAUGUGAAAGUAGCAGUUUAAGAACUUGAGAGCUGGUAUAUUUUGCAAUGCCUGUACAUUGGUUAGAGUUGUUAAUUAUUGGUAAUUUUAACCAUGUUUUGCAUAUGUAUAGUGAUAUGAUAUGGAUUUAGCUCUAUAAUGAGAAAAUUAAAAAUCAGAUUCUUUAUUUUCUUCCAUAUAUCUUACAUUCUGAUUCUUGGCAGGUUAAAGUUGCUCAUCUGGUGUUCCAGGAAAGAAGAGGAGGCCAAAACUAAUGUUGGACAUGAAGAUUUUGCCUCCUUGGAUGAUCACGCAAUCCAUGAAUCUUACAAAUGAGUAAUGUGGAGGAAUAAUGAUACCUCACGAAAUAAUAUUAUUUUCAGAGAAGACCAAGUUGAUGUACAAAAGGAAGUGUGUUGGAUCAAGGAGACUGCACGGCUAUUGUUGAAUAUUGACAAGAAAGAUAUGACAGAAUUUAAUGACAGGAAGGGUGUAGUGCCCUAGCAGGAAUCAGUAGCAAAGGAUGGGUGCAGUUGAAUUAUCAGACAUAGUAACUAAAGCAGUGAUUACAUGACAGUGAUAGAAACCAUGUCACAAGCAUGUAGAAUCAGUUAAGGCUGCAUGCAACAACAACGCAAUUCAGCAGUAACAAAGAUGAUGCAACUGGAAUAGACCAAGACUAGGGACAACUCUGUUUCAGAUCUAUUUUUUUUUUUACCCCUUUGUAUAGACUUUGUUAUUUAUUUGUUCAAUUAUAUGUAUGUGGGCUUGAUGUAGGCGGGCAUAUGGGGUUAGUUAAACAAUGAUCUACAAAUAGAGCCAUGUCUUUAUAGGGAAAUUUCAACCUGACAGUACUU